UUUGCUCCCAGUGACUUUUAGUCACUGCUUUUAGCUGUUAAUUUAUGCAUUAGUGGAACACAUAACUCAGAACACAGGAAGGUUUUAACUUGGGGAUAAGGGGACCAUCUUCUUUCUCUCACGGACCCAUGGGAUGUCAAAGUCUCAGCCUCAGAUUAAGUGCAGCAGCCAUGUGGGAGAAAAGGCGCCAGCCAAACCAAGGAUGGGCAGUAGAUUGGCUUUCAAGUUGAACAAGAACCCGUCUUAACAGCACCAGGAAAGUCUAUACAAUCUAAAGUGGCCGUCCACUCUGGAGGACUCACUUUUCUUUGACACCCUGAAAAUGCAGAUGCUUAUGGACAAGGUCUUAUUCUGAUGAAAGUCUUCAGUCAUUUGUCAACAGUUAGAAAAUAUUAAGUAUGACUAUCUCAUGUUCUUCAUUUCUCCCAUAAACUGUUACAGGAAAAAAAGAAACUAUACAAUGUCCUAGCCAUACUAAAUGCCCAUUUAUAAAAAGAAUAUUUUAGCGAGGAGUGGGAGAGAAGUGAGGGGUUUCUUAAGUGAAAGCAAUUUUAGGCUGCCAACUUUCACCAGAUAAUGGACUGUUCUAAACUGACUAUAGUGGUAAAGAGUAGAAUUCUAUAAAAACUUACCUACUAUUUCCAAGCAGAUCAGAAAUAUUGUGGACCUUAUAAGACCUUGG
rnacentral:lncRNA from 1 species